rnacentral:rRNA from 1 species
UAACAAGGAUUCCCCUAGUAACGGCGAGCGAAGCGGGAAGAGCUCAAAUUUGAAAGCUGGCGUCUUCGGCGUCCGCGUUGUAAUCUCGAGACGUGUUUUCCGUGCGGCUCUAUGGACAAGUCCCUUGGAACAGGGCAUCGUAGAGGGUGAAAAUCCCGUACUUGCCAUGGAAGUACCGUGCUUUGUGAUACACGCUCCAAGAGUCGAGUAGUUUGGGAUUGCUGCUCAAAGUGGGUGGUAGACUCCAUCUAAAGCUAAAUAUCGGGGAGAGACCGAUAGCGAACAAGUACCGUGAGGGAAAGAUGAAAAGCACUUUGGAAAGAGAGUUAAAAGUACGUGAAAUUGUCGAAAGGGAAGCACUUGAAGUCAGCCAUGCUGCUUGAGACUCAGCCUGGCUUUUGCUUGGUGUAUUUCUCGGUAGCAAGCCAGCAUUGGUUUGUGUCGUCGGAGAAGCGUAUGGGGAAUGUGGCAUCCUCGGAUGUGUUAUAGCCCUGUGCAGGAUACGACGACGUAGACCAAGGAACGCAGUGUGCCCUCUGGGCGGGUCUUCGGACACCUUCACACUUAGGAU